AUUCAAAAUAUUACUGCUCACUGACAGUGCACCUGAACACCCAAGAAGUCUAAAGGAUAUGUACAUCAAGAUUAAUGUUUUCGCGCCUGCCAACACAACAUCCAUUCUUCAGCCCAUGGAUCAAAGAGUAAUUUCAACUUUAAGUCUUAUAAUUUAAGAAA